UGGGGAAUAUUGCACAAUGGACGGAAGUCUGAUGCAGCAACGCCGCGUGCGGGAUGACGGCCUUCGGGUUGUAAACCGCUUUUUCUCAUGACGAAGUUUUUUGACGGUAGUGGGGGAAGAAGCACCGGCUAACUACGUGCCAGCAGCCGCGGUGAUACGUAGGGUGCGAGCGUUGUCCGGAAUUAUUGGGCGUAAAGAGCUUGUAGGCGGUUCGUCGCGUCGAUAGUGCAAACUCAGUGCUUAACGCUGAGCCUGCUGUUGAUACGGGCAGACUAGAGGAAGGUAGGGGAGAAUGGAAUUCCCGGUGGAGCGGUGGAAUGCGCAGAUAUCGGGAGGAACACCGGUGGCGAAGGCGGUUCUCUGGGCCUUUCCUGACGCUGAGAAGCGAAAGCGUGGGGAGCGAACAGG
rnacentral:rRNA from 1 species